UGCCUUUCCAAGUCAUGUCCAGUCAAUUGAAUUUACCACAGGUGGACUCCAAUCAAGUUGUAGAAACAUCUCAAGGAUUAACAAUGGAAACAGGAUGCACCUGAGAUUAAUUUAGAGUUGCAUAGAGACGGGUCUGAAUAUUUAGGUAAAUAAGGUAUUUCAUUUUUGUUUUGUUUUUAUACAUUUGCAAGAAUUUCUAGAAACCUGUUUUUGCUUUGUCAUUAUGGGGUAUUGUGUGUAGAUUGAUGAAAUGUUUUUAUUUAAUACAUUUUAGAAUAAGGCUGUAGCGUAACAAAAUGUGGAAAAAGGGGGUCUGAAUACUUUCCGAAUGCACUGUACAUUCAGCGAAUUGUAGGAAAAUGAUGGAACAUAGAGAGACUAUAGAUCAAUUAUUUAAUGUUUUUUCUUAUUUUUUCUUUGUACAUUUCUUGGGGAAAGCCUGACUCACUGCUCCAACGUUGCAGACAGAAAUACCUCAUCUAGAGCCGACAUGAUUUCUAAUUCAACAUAUUAGAGAUGCAUGUUUGUUCUACAUAGCAUACUUGUAUCUGUGGAAAGAUCUGAUGUGAUGGGUAAAAACCGGGAGGAAGAGGUGAAGCGAGAGGGUUUAUUCCGUCCAAAAUCUGUCCACGAAAAUUGGACCACGAAGUGAGGAAUUUUUGUAUGGAGGUCCAUGAGUGUCGAAUUUGGUCAACAAAAAAUGUAAUAGCUAAUUUGCUACGUGAGGCUUAUUUGAAUAAAAGUUUCGUAAUGGUUAGGUUAUGAAUGAACUGAUAUAAGUGGACACACGUGGCAUUUCCACAACUUUGAAAAUAAUGACUUUAUAUCAGAGUUGUGCCUAUUGUUCACACUCAUAUCUGCCCUCUCAAUGGCUAGAAUGGUUCCAUCUGUUCUCGCCUCCUCCCACAUGCCUUCCAUCUUUGAGGACAUGUAUUUCCAUUGUUAGAAAGGUCACUGGACUAUCUUGUCAGUAUAAUAGAUCAUCUUUGGUCAAAAGUAGCCUGGCUGACACGGCAAACGUGACUGACAGCACAAGGAGAGCUGUGACACACUCGUCUGGACAGGAGAUCGUUGUAAAUGCAGUAUUUGCGCAGAAAUUGUGAUGAUGAUUGGUUUAUGAUUGGUUCUCUUAAAAAUCCUUCGUGGUUGAGGCCUGUCAGUGUUUGGAUUUGAAAGGGGGGCAACACUCGGGGGCGGUGUGUGGCUGUCCAUGUGGGUGUUUGAGUGAGAAAACCCAGAAGAACCAACCUGUAAAAAGCACAGCCCCCUUCAUUAUCGAUGAAUCAUGCAGAAAACAUCAAGGAGCCUUUUCAGACUGAACUCAGGAGGACUUUGAGUCAGGUGUCAGCCAAACUAGGUCAAAAGACCAAUUUGUGUGUAAAGGCAACCUUAACAUCAUGUGACUUCUGGACUCCUUUAUUGGAAAAGUCAGCUGUCCAAGGUCAUUUCAAGGGAGUGUGAAUCCAAUCUGAAAAAGAUCUACGCAGUACAAACAGUUUAGCUGAGUUCAUGUGAGGAACUUCAUUUUAUCUCUUCGAGCAAAGGAAGAGGUUGAUGGGGUCAGCUUUAGUAUUUGAGAUCGAGCUGACGUUUUUCAAGUCUGGAUUGGAAAUGCAUCUCUAGCGAGUGAAGCGAAUAUCUUCGGUAAAGUCUAUUAAACUCCUUCCGCACGCACGUAACUUCUAAAGCAGUGUUUUAUAAAUGUAAGUAUGGUCUUUUGUUUUUGUAAUUUUCUGACGACCUGAUAUUUUUGUAUGUAGCAGUUACAUUUGUGCAAUAGUUGUCACGUUCUGACCUUUAUUUCCUUUGUUUUGUCAUUAUUUAGUAUGGUCAGGGCGUGAGUUGGGGUGGGCAGUCUA